GCCCAGGUAGCUCAGUCGGUAGAGCAGUGGACUGAAAAUCCACGUGUCGGUGGUUCGAUUCCGCCCCUGGGCA
rnacentral:tRNA from 2 species